GGGGAAUAUUGCGCAAUGGGGGAAACCCUGACGCAGCAAUACCGCGUGAGUGAAGAAGGUUUACGGAUCGUAAAGCUCUGCUAUUGGGGAAGAGUAGAAGACGGUAACCCUUGAAUAAGCCACGGCUAACUCAGUGCCAGCAGCCGCGGUAAUCCGUAGGUGGCAAGCGUUGUCCGGAUUUACUGGGUGUAAAGGGCGUGUAGCCGGGAAGGCAAGUCAGAUGUGAAAUCUGGAGGCUCAACCUCCAAACUGCAUUUGAAACUGCUUUUCUUGAGUGUCGGAGAGGUAAUCGGAAUUCCUUGUGUAGCGGUGAAAUGCGUAGAUAUAAGGAAGAACACCAGUGGCGAAGGCGGAUUACUGGACGAUAACUGACGGUGAGGCGCGAAAGCGUGGGGAGCAAACA
rnacentral:rRNA from 1 species